CAGUUUAAUAGUAUUUAAAUUCAAGUUGAAUAUGGUAUUUUUUUAAAAAAGGUUUUAAUUGCUUAAAUUAUUUCUAUGAAUUAAUAUAUCAUGACUUUUUCAUCAUAUCAUUUUUUAUGAGCUGUAUUCGUUUUCCAUUUCGGAAACCAAGCACACACUUUUUUUUUCAUUUUUAAAACAAUUAAUCGCUCACAUAGCUCUAACAAGGUUUUGUUUUAUUUUUAUUUUAUUUUGGAAUUAACUUCAGAAAUGGAAAAUAAGGACUAAUAGAGGUUCUUUCUUUUAUUCUUUAUUUAUAAUGUUUAUUCUUGAAGAAAAUAAGUAUUUACUCUUUAAGAAAAUAAAGGACGAUCUAAAUAUUUGUAAUGUACAAUAAUAUAGGCCUAUAUCUGUCCAUUGGAUUUUAAAGCAUAACAACUGAAGGUCUAUGAAACGUUUCUAUGAUGCAUUUUUUUAAACAAUGGCACUUAAAGUUUUCAACUAAAAUAUUAUUUCAACCAUAUAGCCUGUGAAUAAAUAAAAUGCACACUUUUCAAUGAAAGAACACAGAGUGUAGGUUGCUUCUGGUGUUUGGAUUUGUACUUCAAUAUAAUGAGCUCCUAGUUUAAGAAUAGCCUACAGUGUUUUUUUUUUUUUAUUAUUAUUAUUACUCUAUUUAACAGCAUUAGCUCAAUGAAAUACAUCUUCCUUCAGGUAGACUGAAUGUUUUUCUGUCUUGCUAAAUGUUGGGCUCAUGAUCAGUAAGUUGUAUUCGCUCAAACUGAUUUUAUAAAAUCCAAACGUGGACGGUGAAGCUGGGUCAGUUAGAGCUCGCGCUCGCUGUGAAGCGGGAGCAGCUGACGGAGGAUUCCGCUUGGUCUUAAAGCCUUCCUUAACGUAUACGUUCACAAACGUCUACGAUUUUCUCAAAAAUAAUGAUUAAUUAUCAAUUGAUAAUUUGUAAUUAUUUUGGUCUAGUGAUAAUAAUAAUAUGGGCUGCGGGAAAAUAAUGAAUAAAAAGAGUAGGGCUGGUGUGAGUGCAGGCAUGUUUCAACCCAGUAACAUGAGAACACACCGUUCCUCACAGACAAAAAACAGACCGAGUUCAGUUCAGCUGCGCAGCCCAUAUUAUUAUUUUCACUAGACCAAAAUAAUAACAAAUUAUCAAUUGAUAAUUAAUCAUUAUUUUUGCCAAAAUCAUUGUUAUUUGUGAACGUAGGCGUUUGCGGAAGGCUUUAAGACCAAGCGGAAUCCUCCGUAAGCUGCUCCCGCUUCACAGCGUGCGGGGCUCGGGCAAACUGACCCAACAUUUAGCAAGACAGGAAAACAUUCAGUCUGCCUGAAGGAAGACAUAUUUCAUUGUAAGUUAAUGCUGUUAAAUAGAGAGUAAAAAAAAAAAAACCUAGAGUAGGCUAUUCUUAAACUUGGAGCUCAUUAUAUUGAAGUACAAAUCCAAACACCAGAAGCAACCUACACUCUCAGUGUUCUUUCACUGAAAAGUAUGCAUUUUAUUUAUUUAUUCACAGGCUAUAUGGUUGAAAUAGUAAUAUUUUAGUUGAAAACUUUAAGUGCCAUUGUUUAAAAAAAUGCAUCAAAUGUUUCAUAGACCUUCAGUUGUCAUGCUUUAAAAUUUCAUGCCAUUUGUAAUUUCACUGUAUUUUCACCUCCUAAAUUACUACCCCAAUUCUAUAAUGGUAAAAUUUAUUCAGACUGAUGGCAUUUUUUAUGACAUUAUUUAUUUUUAUUUUUAUUUUUAGAAUAGGCUAAUUGUAGCCUACAUAAAUGGAUGAAUCAAAACAAAUAUAACUUUUUAACUGCAGGCAGAUAUAGGCCUAUAUUAUUGUACAUUACAAAUAUUUGGAUCCCUUAUUAUAUUAAAGAAUAAAUACGUAUUUUCUUCAAGAAUAAACAUUAUAAAUAAAUAAUUAAAGAAAGAACCUCUAUUAGCCCUUAUUUGUAAGUUGUAGGAGAUAUGCGAGCGAUUCAUAGAUUUAAAAAAGAAAAAAGUGGGUGCUUGGUUUCAGAAAACGAAUACAGCUCGUAAAAAAUGCUAUGAUGAAAAAGUCAUGCUAACUUAUUAAUUCAUAGAAAUAAUUUAGGCAAUUAAAACCUUUUUUAUACUAGAUUCAACUUGAAUUUCAAUACUAUUAAACUGACUUUAAAAUCUCAAGGAGUUUAUAAGUUGAAACGGUAAAAUGUCACAGUGCAUGUUAAAUAGCCUAAAUGAACUUGUAUCUUGUAUAGUAUACGAAGACUUGAGUGCAUGUUAGCAUAAAACUAACAAUAUAAUUUGAUUUUUUUUUUUUUAAAUAAACAAUUCCUAUAUAAAAUGUGACAGCAACCUUUAUAUCAAACAUUUUGAAAUCGUCCACAGCUGAGCAUCGCGGGAGGCGGAUCUGAAGUUAUAUUUGUUUGUUCACGAAGUGAAUGUGAUGCACAAAGUCAUUUUUAGAUGCAAUGGAAAAAUAAAGCUGGAUAAAAACAUACACGAAAACACGCUAAAAAAUAAAUUAAGUUUGUGAGAGUUGCAUUUUAUUACAUUCAGAAAUAAUAACGGCAGGCCUAAUAAUGCUAUAGGCUAAUGUACCAACAGCACAUUUUUAGUUCCCUUCACUUUACAACAAAUCCUUUAAAUUUAAAAAAUUUAUCAGAACAGAACAAGAAUUACAAAUAUAUAAUUCUAAUGGAUAAAUAUAAUUGCAGCAGGCUAUAUAAUAAUAUAGGCUUAUAAAUAACAACAAAAAUAAUAAUAAUUAAAAAUAAUAUAAAGCGAUACAUUAUGUUGGGCUUAUCUCUCUCAUUCGGGACAAAUCCAAACAUGUUGCCCAUUUGAAGCUAAACUCUUAUUCAUGAGGUAAAAUAGGCUUUGGAUUUCACACGUGUUUCAGUAUCGACGGAAAAAAAAAUCAUAAUUAAUUCUUCUGUUUCUCCUAUAUGCGAUGU
ensembl:lncRNA